GGCCACGUGGCGAAGACAGCUAACGCGGCGGUCUGCAAAACCGCUAUACGCCGGUGCAAAUCCGGCCGUGGCCU
rnacentral:tRNA from 1 species